GCAUGCACCUGGUGCUGCAGCGGAAAAGUUUUCUAGGCUCGGUUUCCUCAGGAACCCGAAACAGUGCCGCCAUCACUGGGGAUACCCGUGAAGCCACCUAUGGCCAUCGGCUGCCUUCCCGCAGAGCAUCCCAUCUCGAAGAUCCCUGUACCCCCAUGGUCACUCCUGUGCUUUAGGAAGUUAACGCUCCAGUCCAAGUUUCGUUGCGUGUUGGGUUACAACCACCCCCUCACCUCCUGCUUACACGUGUCAGUAGCUUCCAUGCGACUCCAGCUGAUGGGUUGGGAAGUGAGGGAUUCUGCAGCACCCAAUCCAGAAAAAUAGGUUCUCAGGAAUAAAUGUCUGUUUUUUUUCUCAAUAUUUCCUUACCUCCUUAAGUAUGUAAUAGAAGGUAAAGCACUAAGUUAUGCAGCUAUGGUAUGAAAAAACUUAUGUCCUACAUAACAGCAGUAUGAAAUCCAAGUCUAUUUGGAUCUCCAGUAACACAUUUACAUACAUUUUAUCUUGAAGCUUAGGAAUGGAUGUCCAGUUUAUCAGUGAAGGACAAGUUCUCAUGCUAGGUCUUAGGAGGCCAGAAACAUGAGUGUUACCCUUAUCAUUAAUCUGUCCUCUCAGUCUCUGUAAGGUAGAGGAAGGAUGAUACUACCAAGUUAUCUUGUUCUGUACGAGGAUGACAGAUACAUAUUUGUUGCUUAUGGUCAGGCAGAUUUGCUGACCUUUGCCAGUUGGAAAAUCCUAUUUUAUUACUUACUUCUCAUUCUUCUCACCUGACAUUUCCUGAUCAUUUCAUCUCUUAUCAGUAUGUCUAGUGCUAAAAUAGCCUUGUAGUAGCAAUGACUUUUACUCAUACAUUAUUAAACACAAGUCUAUAUCGGUUAUUUUUACUGCUACUUUAUGUAAUCUGAGACCUACAUAAUGAGUCAGAGGAUAAAACUGCCCUCCAUAGCUCUAAUCAAUGUCCAUUAGCAGUUAGUAAUAAUUAGUGCCUAUGUACAGAAAUUUGAGUAAGCCAGCAGGCUGGUAGUAACUGAUUGCCAAAAGCAGUGGGUUUGGGAUGCUCAUCCUGCACCAGCUGAGUAUCUCCUGGUAGGCAGAUCUCUUCCAUGUGUCAUUUGGAAAUAGUUUGUGCCACCAGUGCUGCAAAAGCUGCAGUUCAGGAAGUUGUACUUUAGUAAAUACAUUUUGUCUGUGCUACAAAUACAGAUGUCAACAUCUGGAGGCUGUAAGUAAAGACAACUGGUGUCAGUGCAGCAUGCAGUUUUCAGUUUGAAAGGGAAACAUCUCUUUCUCUGGUAUAACAACCAGUGAAGAAUUGUAUGGUUGUUCAAGUUAUUUCUGACACCACUAGAAGUGCAUAUCAGCCCUUGUUAGCUGUUCUGCCACUCCAGUGUGUACAACAGGAGGAAAUUUAACUUCAGAUGUGCUCUUCAACAGAACCAGGAUGUUAAACUAGUUUCCUGUUCCAGUCUUCCCAAGAGCCAACUCAGUCUAGUCCUGCUGCUUUGGUAGGUUUUGAUCUUUCCUUCAUAUUAGGCACACAAAUAUAUUUAAACUAAGGAAAAGUCCCAGUGGGACAUCUGUGCUCAAAGAGUUGUGUAAACCCAGAACAGAGAUCUGACUCUUAAUACACCCCAGACCUGCUAAUACUCUUAGAGGAGUGACACUGGGAUCCUGCAGGAGUUGGAGGCCAGAAGUUGUUAUUAACAGAUGGGAAGGUUCCAGCCAUCUGUGCAUGAGAUAAACCGCCCUAAUAUUGAAGAGCAGGCAGCUGCAUCAGAAUUGCUGUUGGAAGUGUUCCCUGGACCACACUAGUCCCUGAAGCAUGCUUAGCAACCAUAUGGGAAAGCCAAACCUCAGUUGAACUGCAACAGGGAACCAUGGUAGCUAAACAAAAACUGCCCUGUAUCAGUGACUGUUUUGGGUAAGUCUAUAUUCACACUGUAUUAAUAUCUGAAUAAAACUACAUGGUCUGUAGUUUGGUUUUGUUAAUACUUACUUAAGUAUUACUGAGAUUACAGGGAUCAGAGGUUGAGAAAGCAGGGUUUAAGAGAAGAGCUCCAAGAGAAAACUUGGUGAUAUGGAUAUUAGAAUAGCAUGUAACUGUACAUUUACUAUAUCAUAAGCUGUGAUGAGUAGCACUAACAGCAUUUUU